rnacentral:lncRNA from 1 species
GCGGACGGCGUUGACGGCAAAGAUUGUGCCAGCGAGGCCGAAGAAGAUGGAGAGGAGUGAAAAGAGGAGAAUGGGCAGGGAUAUUUUAGAUUUAAGCUUAUGGAGCUUUUGAUCUUUGGCUGAGUAGGAUGAGUUUGUGGUGGUGGAGGUGGGAAGAGCUGAGGAGUUGUGGCGAUGGGAGAAGAGUGGCAUUUCGGCGAAUUGUGAGUUGAGACAGGGAAAAUGUUGGGGAAACGUGAUUGGUGAAAGGAUCUGUCGUUGUUUCUUCUAGCUUUAUACCUCUGGUUUCGAAGUAGAGUUUCUUGGAAGUGACGCUCCUGAGUGAAUAGUGACACCGCGAGGCUGAGGCUCCCUUCCUUAAUACCAUUUUCAGUUCUCGUUGCAUUUUUUUUUAAAAGACAAUUUUUUUAAAAAUUAAAAAAUAUAUAUCAUAUUCACUAUUCAGACAGCCUCAGGUUGAUUUUGAGUAUCGGAUGUUUGACCCCUUUUUUCUAAUUAUUAAAGUAGUCUUUUUUUUCUCUAAAAUUUGAAUAUAUUAAAAUAUAUAUAUGAAUCACAUAUUUUUAACAUUUUUUAAUAUAAGUGUUAAGUUGUUUAUUUUUUUUAAAAAAUUAAAAAAUAAUUUUAUUUGGGCAUCAAAACGAAUAAAAUAUAUAUAUGUUCUUGAUCUAGCUGGAUAUAAAACCCUCUUAUAAAGAGAAAGGACAAAAACUCUAGAAAAUAAAAGUAAGAAAGUAUUUUGCCAAAGAGAGAUGACCUGCCUCCAGAGAGGUCUCCCUCCGUUAGCUUCAAGAGAGAGCGGCGUAGUAGCUUCAAGAGAGGUCUCCCUCCGUUAUUGGAAAAUGAUGUUUGCCCCGGAUCAAACCCCGAAAACUCAAAACGCACCGUUUCACUAAAGCCAAGAAACGACGCGUUUUACUUGCCUAUUUCCCCUUUACUUCUUCGUUUCCCAUCUUUCGCUUAACUCUUUCCCGUAUCCUUUUCUCUGGCUGCUUAUGAAGAAACAACAAAUUUGCUCACAUCAAGUUCAAAUCAUCAUCUUCUUCAAAGAUGCCAAGAUCCUUUGCUUCUCUUUUCUCCCGCAAGAAAUCGCAAAUACUUACCUUCAAAGAUUACUGCACAAACUGGUGCAACACUCUGCAAAAAACCCUCCUCCCUCCCUCUCAUUCAUAAAUCUAUUUCUUCAUCUUCAUAAAUCUAUUUCUGCAAAAAACCCUCCUCCCUCCCUCUCAUUCAUAAAGAUUACGCACCCACGCACUUGUGCAUGUAUAUCUGACUGAUAUGAGUAGCUGCAGAAUCUGUUUUGUUCAUCUUCAUGCUAUGCUUGUAGCAGAUAAGGUGAGGAAAUUGUGGUGGUUUAAAGUUUUGGAUUCUUAUGAUGGGUUGAUUGUACUUCCUAAUUUGUGGGCGUUUGUGAUUUGAUUCUUCAGUGGCUUACAAUUAUCAUUCAAGCUCUAUAUACUUUUCAUUCCAUUCUUUUUAUGCCAAUAAUUUAAAAAAUGCUUGCAAAGAUUCAUUUUCACUAUUGUACAGUAGCCACACAGAAUAAAGAACAAUUGAAAAAAGAAUCUGGAAUUUUCUUUCUACUUUAAUUUGGCCGCUUUUUAUGCUUGAGCUACUUCCCUUUAAUCUGUUUGUUUGCUUUUAAUCUGAAAUGAGGAGAAUGAAGACGAAGAAGCAACUUGGUUCUGUAACUUCUGUUGAUGCUUUUGCGAUUUAUCCAAAGCCAAACGUCAUCGUUUCAUAGCAAAUAAAAAAAAAAAAAUUAAUGACGAAACGGCGUCGUUUUAGCCAGUUUCGGGGUUUGACCCGGGAUUUGACCCGGGGCAAACAUCAGCGCUGUCCGUUAUUAUCCAUAGGGGUCGGCACUAACCGAUUUGGUUCAGUUUUGCCCUUGAACGCAGUCGAACUAAAACUGAUUGGUUAAUGAAUAAAUGAACCAAAUUGAGUUCGAUUCUAUAAUUCAGUUUGGUUUAAUAUUAUUUAGUUUAAGAAUUUUGAUAAUUUUUCUUUUUUUAUUAGUUAAAAUUUUGGACUUUUCACCUAAAUUUAAUUUUUUUCUUAAUUCUAUUCAAUUGUGAUCACUACAAAUUCAUGAUUUAUACAAAAAUAUUAAUGUCAAAUAAUUUUAUAAUAAAUAAAUAUUAUAUUUAUAAACGAAUAUUUUUAAAAAAAAUUUAAACAGCAAAGCAAUCGGUUCUUUGAUUUGAUUCGGUUUUGAACUAAAUUGAAUGAGAACCAAUUGAUUCUCCGAUUAAGUUCGAUUUUAAAUUGAAUCAAAUGAGAACCAAUCGGUUCUUGAGUUCCUGAACUAUUUAAUUUAUUUAUUUUUCUUAGAAAUGAAUUGAACAAAAUUGAGUAAUUUCAGUUUAGUUUGAUUCGAAAAAAACCGAACCGAAUGCCCUGCCCCCAAUUACCCUUAUCCACAGCAUAAGCUUCAUCUGAAAAACUUGAAUAUAAGAGCAUCUCCAAAGGCCUCUAUGAAUUUCACUCUUCAAAUAUCUAUUUGUUUACUUAUAUGGCAAAUAGAAAAGUGAAAAAAAUAUGAUAUUCUCUAAAAGAUUUUUUAAAUAGAAAUAAGUUAAUAUUAUUUUAAUCAAAUAAUUAUUUUUUUAAAAGAAAAGUCAAUAGCAAUUAAAUCACUUCUCCCUAUUUCUCUAGUAAAAAUAAAAUAAAAUAUAAAUUGAAGAGGGAGAAACUAACUCUCCAAAUUUAAAGAGAGAGAAUCAUCUUUUAUUUGAAAAUUUUUAAUUGAAGUGUCUUUUGAAUAUUCAAAUGUUAAUGUGGCUCUUUAAAUAAGUAAUAAAAUUUUAUUUGAAAAGUUUUUUAGUGAUACCUAAGAAACAUACACCUAUUUAAAAUAAAUAAGUAAAAGAAAACUAAGUUUGAUACACAUAAAAGUCAUUAUAAAAAAAAUAAUGUUAAAAUUGAAACUGCCUCGAGGCAUUCUCCGAUAAAGGGUAUCAUAAAUGUUAAAUUUUGGCUUAUAUCCAAUCUAAACCCCAGAUUAGCAAAAGCUGUCUUCGGAGACCAUGAUUAAUCGUCUGUCCUUUUUUUGUUUAAAAAACCUUCUGCUCUUCCAAAUUUUCUUUUUAGAUGUAACUGAAUAACUACAGCACCAGGCUUGUAGCUAUGUAUAAAUACGCGAGUAUUGUUACUUGCAUCUCAGCAAUUACAUGUGCAUUAAUUUGUCGUUUUUAAACGUUUAAUGUAUUUGUUUGGGUAGUUUAACUUGUGUCUCUCGAGAUCUCAUAAAGUGCAAAAAUAUGAGGUACCAUUUAGUAAUUUCGAUGCGGAUUUUGAUGUUGCCCCGAACCACAAAAGUAAUUUUAAGAAAAUAGUGAUUAUUAGAUGCAGUUAAUUUCCGAAGGACCGUCCAUGGAAGAAGGUAACAUGAUACAUAUGCAUAUUUCCUAAUGUAUUAGUUACGAUAUUUAUUACUUAUUAAAACUGCUUUUAAUAAUUUCUAGUCAUUUUUUUUUUAACAUCUCGUGUUCCAAAAUUUAUCGCCAGUUUUUUUAAUUUGUCUUUGUCUCUUGACUCUCUUUCUCCGUAUUUUUCAACAUUUUCUUUUCAGCGUUGUCGUUUUUAUUGUUCCAAUCAUGCUAUUCUUAUUUUCAACAUUUUUCACCGCUUUAAUGUUCUUAUUACCUUUUGACAUUUUUUUCUAAACCUUUAUUUUAAUUUUUCGGCGCACUUAUGCUGUGUUUACUUUCUCGAGUGGGAGUAAGGAGUGUGAAUUCCUCCCACUCUAAUGUUUUUAUACCCUUUUUUAAAUUAAAUUUAAUAUUUAAUAUUUAAUAAAUAAAUAAUGUUAUAUUUAUUUAAAUAAUGUUAUUAUAUUUAACUAAAUAAUAAUUUAUAUUGAUUCUAAGUUAAAAUUACUUAAAAAUAAUAUUAGUAUAUUAAUAAAUAUUACUAUAUGCUAUCUUCAUUUGAAAAUAUAAUUUUAUUAUAUUUAUUUAAAAAUAAUAGUAAUAUAUUUUUAUUUAAUAUCAAUAAUUAAUAAUAAUAGUUUAUUCUAAGAAAAUAUUAAUUUUUUUAAUAAUGUUUCAUUUUAUAUUUACCCUUCUUUUAUUAAAUUUACUAUAAAUAUAUUUAAUAAAUAUUUAAAUAAUAUUAUAUUUAUUUAAAUAAUAUUAUUAUAUUUAACUAAAUAAUAGCUUGGUUUGAUUCUAAGUUUAAAUUACUUAAAAAUAAUAAUAUUAUAUUAAUAGAGAAUUAAUAAUAUUACUAUAUACUAUCUUUAUUUGAAAAUAUAAUAUACUAUAUUUAUUUAAUUAUUAAUAAUUAAUAAUAAAAAUAAAAAUAAAUAGUUUAUUCUAAGAAAAUAUUAAUUUCAUACUAUGUUAAAAGUAAAAAUAUUUCAUUUAUAUUUCCCUUAUCAAUAAUUUUUAAUUUAUAUAAUUAAAAUUAAAAUUAAUAAAAAAUUGUGAUGUACAUAAUUAAGAAUAUUAAUAAUUAUUAUAAAUUUAAAAUAAUAAUAAAAUAAAUGUUUAUUCAUUAAAUAUAUUUUUUAUUAACUUUGUAAUUAAAAAAUAUAAUUCUUUAAAUAAGGAUAAAAUUAUAAUUUGAAACUAUUUACUCACAAUUCAAGACAAAAUAAACACAUAAAUUAGAUUUUGAUCUCCAUUCCAUGCUUUCAUUCCGGUGUAAGUAAAUAAUCUACUCUCACUCUCACUCUCACUCCACACUCCCAAUCCUAGGAUUCUUACUCUUCAGGAUUCUUUCUCCAAUCCAAAAAGUAAACCCUUCCUUAAUAACAUAAAAGUAAGUAAUCAAUAAUCGUAAAUUAGGGAUUCAUCUUCCAAAUGUAUAUGCAUGUUAUAUUGGGUAUUAGCCAAAUAUAUCUGCAUUUAGAAAAAUUCUUUGAUAUGGAUUCUUUUCACAUAUUUCAUAUUUAUUAUCGAUAGAACUAUGGACUACGCAAUAAAUGUAUGAAUUCAAAUUUCUAAUAGAGUUUAUAUUGUUAUAUACAUGUAGAGGCAAAUUUUGGACGUCCACACUAAAUUAAUUUCAUGCGAACUUGGAAGUUCACGACGUUCUAAAAAUCUGAGUUCGAUCGAACAAAAAUUCGUACAGACGUUCGUCGGAGAAAAGGACUCCACAUGUAAUUAAUAUCUAUAGCGAUGCAUACAUUGUUUCCUAUGGUUAAAUUUUAUGCUAUGAUUUCCACCGUGAGAAGAGAAUUUUAGUCCGAUAAACUUAAAGAAGAGAACGAGGAAAAAGAGGAAGAAAACAUCAGAAUCUCAAAGCUGCAACGUAAUCAAUAGAAGCUGAAUAUGAGCAUUUCUACAUACGUACAUACAGUACAUCUCAGAUAGCAAGCAAACAGUAUUAAUCCUAGUCGCUGCUAUCAUUUUAUUCAAUAUUUUAAUACAAGAGCCAUGUCACUUUAUUGGUGAUAUUAAUUAUUAUUCAUUAUAAUUUAUGUGACAUGGUUUUUCAAGGACGGUUUAGAAUUAUAUUGGCAUCACCAGGUUUUCCUCCUCGAGAGAAGGCGGCACUGGGAACGAGUUGAAGGUCCAAUUUAGAACCUGAUGGCUUUCUUCAAAGUCCCCCGUAGCUGCUGUGAAGCCAACAUAGACGGGCGUUGGAAUUAUAUCUGGCAGGUAAAUGUGUUUUUCAAUCACCUUCCGAAGUGUUUCCCCCGAAUAUGCCGCAGAAACAGAGAGUUUUCCAUAGUCUGGAUUGUAAUAAAUUCGAACCUGGAUUGCUCGUCCACUUUUGAGAUCAAUGUCAAGCAGACUAUUAACUGGAUUUGAUUCGAUUCCGUUUAUGUCGAUGCCAAUAUGGUUAUCAUCUGGAUCAUUCAGGUUCUUGUUCAUGCAUGUGUCCAGCUCCACGGCUAAUGGAGGAAAUUUUUCGUCUGCAUAAUUUACAUGCAUGAUCAUGAAUAUAUAUGUAUAAGUAUUAUAUAUAGAACAUAUGAUAUAUCAUCAUAUUGUUUAUCAUUUGACUGCCGUUAUAUAAAAAAUGCGCCCAUGCAUGCAUUUGUCAGUACUUUCAAUGUUAUCUGCAUAAAUUCUUAAUUCUUCACAUUGAUAAUCAUACCUGGUGAAGACUUCAGUCCAAGAAAUUCGCCGACGCCCUUUGCCGAUGAACCGCUUUUAUCGCUUGCAAAAAUGAACGUCAUGCCAUCUCCGGCACGAUCAGUGUAAUUCAGGUGGCGUGAGAUCUUAAUGGUGAUGGUGGUAUCAAUAAAAGAUCGCUGUAAACUCAGAGGCGUGCCGUAUAAAACCCGUCCAACCUUAUUGAGCUGCGGGUUUGGUUGAGGGCCUGGUGUGAUGUUUAAGGCGCCGGAACUUUCAAUCGCUCCGUAGCAAAUGAGGGUCUGAUUGUCACAACUGUCUUUGGCGAAUGAGAGAAAUGAGAAGCCAAUAUAUGUGUCGUCGGAAAGGAUUGAUGAAGAAGCUCCGCGAAGAAAAACUGAGAGGAGUAGUAGGAUAAUCAUUUUUUGUUCUGCGAGGGCUACUUAUUGAAUGGCGUCGCUCAGCUUCACAUGCACUUAUUAUAUAGGGGACUUAAACAUUUUUUUUAUUUUUUAUUUCUUGUGUGUCGGUGACAUUUUUUUUUAAAGGUCACUCUCCUUUGAAAACCUUGUGUAGCACAUGAAUAUAAUUGUGAGUAAAAAAUAUAUACAAAAAAAGGUGAUGUCGUUUGCAUGAAAAUUUGUAUCAUUAAAGACAAAAAAAAAAUAUUUAACAAAUAAAAUUCAUUCACUUUAUAAAUUUUUUACUUUUUAUACAAAAAUCUUCAUUUUAUUUGUCAUGUACAAUUUUUUAUGCAAAUAACAUUACUUUUUUUUUUUAUCUUAAUAUCUUUGUUCAAUUACGAAAUACAAUCUAACGUGCCCACCCACAACAAAUGUAUAGUCAUAAUGAGACUAGUGUAUGAAAUGUAAGUAAAUAUAGAUCAAUAAUCUCUUGAUAAAUUAUUUUUGUAUAAAUUGAUGUGGCACAAUUUAAUUGGUUAGAUUAAAUAUCUUUGGCCUAUAUGAUUUAACUUUAUUAUUUUGUAUUUUCAUCUAAUUAAUAAAUUUAUGUCACAUCAGUUUAUAAAAUAUUUUGUAGUCUUAUCAUCACUCGUAAAGUGUUUGUUAUGCGAUCGCGGUAAAAAAAAAAUUAAUAUGAGCCAGGAUAGUAAUAAAAAUUAAAUUGGCAUGUAUAUAUAUAUAUAUACAUAAUUUUUUUUUGGGUGAGAGAGCUUCUGCAUUUGGGAAAUUGCAAGCUCUUCGACUAGCAACUGGCUAUUAGAUAUGAAAUAAACUCUUGUGAGCUACAGAAAUAUCAUAUGAGUCUGAGACCCUUAACGAAUCAACAAUGGGUUAUGUACAUUCGUUGCGACGUAGAAAAAUUCUUGAAACUUAGUUAUUUUUUUUUUGGGUACAUAAACGUGUCUAGCCGAAAAUAACGCAAGACCGAACGAGGGUAUCACACCCCAAUACAAUCAUAUAGACUCAUUCUUGAAGCUUAAAUCUAUAUUUUUAUAUUAUAGCUUCCAUUGAACCAAGGUCUUGAUUUUCCUUAGCUUACAACUCUAAAUAAUGAAUUAGGAAAUUCUCAUUAUCUAAAUUUUUGUAAGUUUUUAUAUCUUUAUAUUAAUAGAUUUUAACAUUAAUUUCACAUAACAAUGUUAUUUUGACGAACAAAAAAAUUGAGUUACUUUCACAACAUUUCUUCCACUUCCACAUACAUGAACCGAAAUCAUAAUCCUUCAUAUAAUUAAGUCAUAUAUACUCAUUCGCGGCUCCACAAAGAGUUUUAUUUCUCUAUUAAUCUACAGAAAAACUUUGAUAAAUUAAUAGUUUUGGAAUCAUAAAAAAUCUAUUAAUUUUAGUAAGUAAUUGUAAUCGACAGAUUAAUAUCUAUGAAGGUAUUAAACAGUUGUAAGACUUUUGGUGACCGACUUCUAAACUACUUGUUAGGUUACUUAAACUUUUUACAUGUAUCAUUCUAAGUGACGAUGCAAAAAUGUUUGAAUGUUGAUAUAUAGAUAAUAGAACUAGGUUUCUAAAUAAUACAUUUAUUCAGAGUAAUCUAAAUGAAUAAAACUAAAGUUUUGAGUCCCUUUUAUAACAAGCCCAAAUAUCGUGAAUUUAUUAAAAUAAUUAAAUUUAAAAUAUAAUAUGAUAAUUAAAUUCCCCUAAUCAAAUAAGAAAUCUAAAAUAAACUAUAUCCAAAUUCGAUAUCUUAAAAAAAACAUAAAAAUCUUUAAAAAAUCAAAAAUUUUAAAAAAUCUUAAAAUUUAAAAACGAUAAAAGAAACAAAAAUUUUGGGCUCAAGUAUAGUCCAAAAUAAUAUACGCAAUUCUAAUUUUAAUUAAUCUCAUCGUAAAUUUCAAUACAAAAAAUAUUACGUCCCAAACGGACGUCCGUGGCCUAAAUUAUGCUCACCGGAAGCUAAGCAGCCGUCCUACGUUACUAAGCCAUUAGAUAAUAUCCUAUGUAAAUUUAGUGAAGGCAAAAAUGGGGGAUACGUAAUCGCUGAUGAAAGGUAGCCGUGCACCACAUUCUCUUAAUUUUAUGGGGAAAAAAAAAAGAAUAGGAGGGGUAAAAACAAAAAAGGAGUGGUUGUGUCAGUAUGUGGUCUACAUCUGGGCCCAGUUAAAAAUAUUUUACUUUUAUCAAUUUUCUUAUUUUAUUUUCCCAAACUAACUCCUGAUCUUUCCCCAGAUUGGGAGUUUGACGUCCCUCGAAUAUUUCAUUUAAAUGUCCUUUCUUAGAGUCCUAGAGUUUGAGUGAAGACAGUCUUUCUUUCAGACUGGGGGUUUGAUGUCCCUCAAAUAUUUGAGAGGAUUAAAAAUAUGAGCGGUGCCAUAUCAGUAUAAAUGUCAACAGAUCUCAGUAUAUAUAUAUAUAUGAUUGUACAUAUCAGUUAUACUCUCAUGUAAUAUGAGUUGUAAUUUGAGCAAUAGUAUCAUGUCAUAAAAAAAAAAAAAAAAAAAACUCCUGAUCUCUCCUCUCUCUUCGUACCUCACCACAGCUACAGUCUGCAAAUAUGCAAUCCUGUUUAUUUAUUUAUUUUUUAAUUUGACGUAUACGUAAAGAUUUUUACAUAAAUUUCUGUUACAUAAAGGUAUAAAAUUCAUAUUUCUUUCUCACCUUGUUCUUUCAAUAUUUUUUCCAAUAAGAACAAUUUUUUUUUUUUUUGUAAAUGAAUAUUGUUUUGAGUGAUGUAGUUCCAUUUAUAUUAUAAUAAUAAUUAACAAAAUUUUUUAUUAAUAAUUUCACUUGUAUCAAAUUUACAAUGAUAAUAUGAAUAUUAAACAAAUAAUCACUAAAUGCAUCACACAAUGGAAAUAAAAAAAGUAUAAAAAAUUUCACCAAACACAUUUUCAUUAUUUUCAUAUUGUCAGAUAAACUACCAAUUGUAUUUUUUAUUUUUUUUUUAUUUUAUAUAUUGUUUUGGAAACAAUUUAGCAAAUACCCUUUCACUUCUAAAAAUAUCACAUUAAAAAUAUCGUUUUUCUUCUCUAAAACGAUUAUAGAAAAUACUAACUAAAAAACAAAAGACCAAACACAUUGUAGACGAUACCAUGUUUAUAUGAGGGGACCUUGGCCAAGGUUGUGUGUGAGAUCCUGAGAGAUGAUAUAUGAGGGGACCUUGGCAAAAGCAAUCAAAUCAUUACAAAAUGACAAUGUCUUUACGAAGACACUAAUAUACAUGAUAAUCUCGGAUGUUUUAUGUAGUCCAUUCAUGCAAGUAGGAGUCCAUUCAUAUCCUAUCAUGAAAGUAGGUAUUUGGUUUUAUUUAGUCCAUUCAUAUCCUAUCACGAAGGUAGGAAUGACUCUAUCUCUCACAUUGUACCAUGUUUCUUCACCUUAGAAAUUGUUAGUUAUCUCAUUUGGAAUGAUGCCAAAGCAAAGGAAUAUUGUGAUUAUCUUUAGGGAUGGCAAUUGGGAGGGGAGGGGAGGGGACCAAUCUCCCCAUAUCCAUCCCCGAUAUUUUGCGUAUGUCCCCGUCCCCUCCCCAUCCCCAUUAAAAUUAUUUAAGAGAAUCAUCAUACCCUCUCCGAAUAAUAACAGGGGAUCCCCGAGGGUCACCGAUCCCCGAAUAACUAAUACAUUUUUUUUAUUUUCGAUUUUGAGUUAAUCAUAUUAAAAUAAAAGUAAAGUUUGAAAUAUAUCUUACAUUAAUAUCCAUUACAAAAGUCACAUACAUUAAAUUAGUAAGUAACGCAGCAUGCAAGGGAUACAAACUAUCAUGAACAAAUUAAUAGCCUAAUACAAAAUUGUUACAAAUAAAAUCAAAUUUAGAUUCAAAAUUAACUUUUCAAUGGUGGCGUGGGUACUUUAUAAAUGUGGAUUAUUCCCUUUACAGCACAAUAGUUAAAUCGAAGCAAAUCAAGAGCAAAUAUUAUAUUAGAUUAGAUAUUAAAAUUGUGAUUUGCUGUGGGCAAUUAUAACAUCUAAAAAUAAAUAAAUAAAUAGAUUUAAGAUAAAUAAAAAAUAGAUUUAAGUUUAAAAUAUUUAAUGAAUAUUAAAAUUAAAACAAAAGUUUUGGGCUAAUAGAAUAUGUUCGGUCUUUUUAAUGUCCUAAAUAAAAAUUUAGGACUUUAAUUAGUUAAUUAGGCCUAAAAGUUUAAUAAUAUAAAUAUUUUGAUAUUUUUUAUUUUUACCAAUACUUAUAAUUUUAUAAUUCAAAUUUUAUUAUUUAUUUACUAGUAAUUUUAAAAAAUAAAAAUUAAAUUAAAAAUUAAAAUGGGGAAAUGGGUAGGGGAUGGGGAUUACACCUCAUCCCCGUCCCCUCCCCGAAUAAGAAAUUGGGUAAAAAAAUUUCCCUGUCCCUUCCCCGAAUAAGAAAUUGGGUAUGAAAUUAUCCUCAUACCCUCCCCGAAUGGAAAAAAAUCCCCGAGAGUACCCGUCCCCGUGGAAAUUUUUGCCAUCCCUAAAAAUAAUAUAAGCAAUUCUAAUUUUAAUUAAUCUCAUUGUAAAUUUCAAUACAAAAAAUAUUACGUCCCAAACGGACGUCCGUGGCCUAAAUUAUGCUCACCGGAAGCUAAGCAGCCGUCCUACGUUACUAAAGCCAUUAGAUAAUAUCUUAUGUAAAUUUAGUAAAGGCAAAAAUGGGGGAUACAUAAUCGCUGAUGAAAGGUAGUCGUGCACCACAUUCUCUUAAUUUUAUGGGGAAAAAAAAAGAAUAGGAGCGGUAAAAACAAAAAAGGAGUGGUUGUGUCAGUAUGUGGUCUACAUCUGGGCCCAGUUAAAAAUAUUUUACUUUUAUCAAUUUUCUUAUUUUAUUUUCCCAAACUAACUCCUGAUCUUUCUCCCAGACUGGGAGUUUGACGUCCCUCGAAUAUUUCAUUUAAAUGUCCUUCCUUAGAGCCUCAGAGUUUGAGUAGAGACAGUAUUUCUCCCAGACUGGGAGUUUAACGUCCUUCGAAUAUUUGAGAGGGUUAAAAAUAUGAGCGGUGCCAUAUCAGUAUAAAUGUCAACAGAUCUCAGUGUAUAUAUAUAUAUAUAUAUAUGAUUGUACAUAUCAGUUAUACUCUCAUGUAAUAUGAGUUGUAAUUUAAACAAUAGUCUCAUGUCAUAAAAAAAAAAAAAAAAAACUCCUGAUCUCUCCUCUCUCUUCGUACCUCACCACAGCUACAGUCUGCAAAUAUGCAAUCCUGUUUAUUUAUUUAUUUUUCAAUUUGACGUAUACGUAAAGAUUUUUACAUAAAUUUCUGUUAUAUAAAGGUAUAAAAUUCAUAUUUCUUUCUCACCUUGUUCAUUCAAUAUUUUUUCCAAUAAGAACGAUUUUUUUUUUUUUUGUAAAUGAAUACUGUUUUGAGUGAUGUAGUUCCAUUUAUAUUAUAAUAAUAAUUAACAAAUUUUUUUAUUAAUAAUUUCACUUGUAUCAAAUUCACAAUGAUAAUAUGAAUAUUAAACAAAUAAUCACUAAAUGCAUCACACAAUGGAAAUAAAAAAAAGUAUAAAAAAUUUCACCAAACACAUUUUCAUUAUUUUCAUUCAUUAUUUUCAUAUUGUCAGAUAAACUACCAAUUGUAUUUUUUACUUUUUUUUUAUUUUAUAUAUUGUUUUGGAAACAAUUUAGCAAAUACCCUUUCACUUCUAAAAAUAUCACAUUAAAAAUAUCGUUUUUCUUCUCUAAAACAAUUAUAGAAAAUACUAACUAAAAAAUAAAAGACCAAACACAUUGUAGACGAUACCAUGUUUAUAUGAGGGGACCUUGGCCAAGGUUGUGUGUGAGAUCCUGAGAGAUGAUAUAUGAGGGGACCUUGGCCAAAGCAAUCAAAUCAUUACAAAAUGACAAUGUCUUUACGAAGACACUAAUAUACAUGAUAAUCUCGGAUGUUUUAUGUAGUCCAUUCAUGCAAGUAGGAGUCCAUUCAUAUCCUAUCAUGAAAGUAGGUAUUUGGUUUUAUUUAGUCCAUUCAUAUCCUAUCAUGAAGGUAGGAAUGACUCUAUCUCUCACAUAGUACCAUGUUUCUUCACCUUAGAAAUUGUUAGUUAUCUCAUUUGGAAUGAUGCCAAAGCAAAGGAAUAUUGUGAUUAUCUUUAGGGAUGGCAAUUGGGAGGGGAGGGGAGGGGACCAAUCUCCCCAUAUCCAUCCCCGAUAUUUUGCGUAUGUCCCCGUCCCCUCCCCAUCUCCAUUAAAAUUAUUUAAGAGAAUCUUCAUCCUCUCCCCGAAUAAUAACAGGGAAUCCCCGAGGGUCACCGAUCCCCGAAUAACAAAUACAUUUUUUUAUUUUCGAUUUUGAGUUAAUCAUAUUAAAAUAAAAGUAAAGUUUGAAAUAUAUCUUACAUUAAUAUCCAUUACAAAAGUCACAUACAUUAAAUUAGUAAGUAACGCAGCAUGCAAGGGAUACAAACUAUCAUGAACAAAUUAAUAGUCUAAUACAAAAUUGUUACAAAUAAAAUCAAAUUUAGAUUCAAAAUUAACUUUUCAAUGGUGGCGUGGGUACUUUAUAAAUGUGGACUAUUCCCUUUACAGCACAAUAGUUAAAUCGAAACAAAUCAAGAGCAAAUAUUAUAUUAGAUUAGAUAUUAAAAUUGUGAUUUGCUGUGGGUAAUUAUAACAUCUAAAAAUAAAUAAAUAAAUAGAUUUAAGAUAAAUAAAAAAUAGAUUUAAGUUUAAAAUAUUUAAUGAAUAUUAAAAUUAAAACAAAAGUUUUGGGCUAAUAGAAUAUGUCCGGUCUUUUUAAUGUCCUAAAUAAAAAUUUAGGACUUUAAUUAGUUAAUUAGGCCUAAAAGUUUAAUAAUAUAAAUAUUUUGAUAUUUUUUAUUUUUACCAAUACUUAUAAUUUUAUAAUUCAAAUUUUAUUAUUUAUUUACUAGUAAUUUUAAAAAAUAAAAAUUAAAUUAAAAAUUAAAAUGGGGAAAUGGGUAGGGGAUGGAGAUUCCACCUCAUCCCCGUCCCCUCCCCGAAUAAGAAAUUGGGUAAAAAAAUUUUCAUGUCCCUUCCCCGAAUAAGAAAUUGGGUAUGAAAUUAACCGCAUACCCUCCCCGAAUGGGAAAAAUCCCCGAGGGUAUCCGUCUCUGUGGGGAUUUUUGUCAUCCCUAAUUAUCUUAUGGGUUUAACUACGAUGGAAUUGUUCUAAAGUAGGACACUUCUUUAUAACCACACAAUUAAAAUUAUAAUGAGUUUUUUAUUAUUUAUUACUUUACGUCUAUGAUGAGAUUCGUACUCCACCAUAAAUCUAUUCCAACAUAGCCAUAUCCUUAUUUUAAAUAUUUUAUUUUUUGAGGCUACUAGAUUUCAGUUUCACAUAUUCAUAGGAUAAUUUAAUUUUGUGGACCGUAUGAACUAUAAUUUAUAAAGUGAAGAUCAGCAACCUCGUGAGCGAAUUGUCUCUUUAUUACAUAUCAAUUCAACUGUGUAAUGGAGAUUUAGGAACCAGCUACUUUAUCACAGUAAUAAGCAACCCCUUAUUUGGUCUUGUACAAAAGCUACUCUUGUAAUACAGUGGCUAUAAUAGAAUACGUCAAAUAAAACAGGUCAAGUGUUCCUGGUGUCAAUAGUUUUCCUUCUUUUUGGAUCAACAUCUUCUCUUAGGCAUUUUCUCUCCUAUUCCUUCUAUACUUAUAAAAAUCUAUUAACAUGUAUUACUAGUAAAAUUAAACACACGUGAGUUUAAAUGUUUAUUUAAACAAAAAUUAAUUAGAAUAAAAUCUUGAACCAUUUAAUUUUAUUAAUGACGCAUGUCAAUGGAUCUUUAAAAAUGUCAGAGAACUAAGAAAAAAAUAUCUAGAAAAGAUCCAGAUUAUUAAAUAAUUUCACAGCUUUGCCACUGUGUACACUGUACACCAAAGUUUUGUUAAAAUAACAAAUGCAUCCCACCCGUUUAGGAAAGGACUUUUCAGGAUUACGCAUUCAAAAAUUUAAAAAAAAAAACUUAAUAACAAAAAAAUGAAAGCGGAGCCCUCUUGCACCUCAUCAUCUAGAGAUGGUAAAAAAAAUCAGGCCUAGCCUAGUUCGUGCAAGACCUAUCUAGAUUCGCGGGAUUUAAGUCCGGCCUGCAAUGAAUGAGUCUAAUUAUGGGCUGAAACAGUAGAUGAGCUUGGAUAUGAGUUAGUGGAAAAAACUUGCACUUUAUAUUUUAAAUUUUAUAUAUUUUAUAUUUUAUGUAUUUAAUUAUUAGUCUAUUAUAUAUUGUAUAAUCAAUAAAUCAUUUUUAAUUUAAGCGUUUUUUUAUUUUUUCCUAUUUUAAACUCUAUUACAAAUUCAUUUUAAAUUUUUUAUCUAAGCCUAGGCCCGGUCCAAACUAACUCCAAAUACAUAGGCUUUUGGCCUAAGCCUGACUCGUCUAAGAAUGGACAAACUUUUGGAAAGCUUUGGACCUGCUGUCAAUAACUUAGGGCUAGACCUGAGCUUGAAAAAACCUGACUCAAGCCCUUAAAUUGUCAUCGCUAUCAUCAUCUUCCUUGAACCGGUCAGCAUCAUCAUUCUCCAAUUGAUGUUUUUCCUUUUUCUUUUUCUUUUUCUUUCAUAACUCCAAUUCUCUAUAAUUAUAUUAACUAUGAAAAUUGGAACCCUACAGGGCCACACCAAACUUUUGAAGCAAACGGCAAUUGAAAUUAUAAUUAAUGCAAAAUCCCACAUCCAAUCCCCUUUAUUUCCAACCUUCAAAUUCAAAGUCUCUCAAUCCUCCACUGCAAUGAACAUGGCGACAUUCAUGUCUAAUCGAAUAUAAAUUCAUUUCAUUGUCAAACUACCCCACAAACAAACCCAAAACCGAACCGAGGUUCACAAGAGUCCGUAUGUCUGUACCAAGAAUAAACAAUUCGAUUGAGUUACUGUAUAUUUGCAAAAAUUUCGAUCACAUUUGUUACCAAAUCAUCAACUUAAAGGAAAAGAAUUUGAACCCAGAUGAAUUUUUUUUUCUCAUCUUGUUUAACAAGCACCUAGCUAAGAACGAUGUUUUGGGAAUUUGAGGGAAUAUAAAUUCAAACUAAAAUUCGUGAAAUUGGGUUUGAGGGAACUUUAAAGUGAAAUGAGGGAUUGAAGUAGUCAAAUUCAAAAACAUAGUUUAUGGUAAGUGGGAGCCAGAAACAUAAUUUUUUAGUUCAGCCUGAACAAAAUAAACAAUUUUUUAGCACGUUAAAUGGAGAUUACUGGAUCAAAAAAGAAAGGAUUCAGAUCCUUUUUUAGGCUCUCUCUUCUAAUCCUCCUAUACUUUCAAGGAAUUGUUAUUAAUGAAAUUAAACUGCUGAGAUUUUAUUUUAAUUAAUUUUUAUUUAUUGAGAAAUUCAAACUCACGUGAUUGUUGUUAAAUUCUUUCCCAGAAUUUUUUUUUCCCUCUCAUCUCUUUCUAUAAUGACGCCCAUCUCUAGAAAACUGUAAAAAAAAAAAAAGCACACAUUGGAGAAAAGAAAUUGACAAUAAGGUUUGCAUCUUACCUUCAAUUUGUUCAUUUAUUUAUUUUUUCUUGAUGUUUGGCUUCUUUAUGGAUCCAUAUUUCUACAAUUAAUUAAAACAAUUGUCUUCUUUAUUUAUCUUAUGUAUCGUUACAGACUUAUUAUUAUGGCUUUAGAAUGCUUGACUGAUUUGGAUGGAAAGUGUAAGUUUGAAAUGGAAUUUGAAUAUGAGCAAUUAACAUAUGAUUUCUACAAUAAGUAUGCAUUGAAAAUGGAAUUUAGUAUUAGUAAAGAGACAUUUUCUAAUAAUAAGAAAACAGGUAAAAUGACCUCGAGGAUAUUUGCUUGUUCUAAGGAGGGAUUUCGUAAAAAGGAUAAGAGAGAUUAUUAAUAGAUUUUUAAUUUAUAUAUUAAUUACUGUUUGCGGCUGAUUUUGGGUCAAUGAAUAAAAAACCACAAAAUCAAACCAAGAACAAUAAAUUUAUAUUUUGUUAGUGAGCGGGGUGCCUCGCUUGUUCGUCACAUGCGAGCUGUUUAGGUUUUUUGUGGAGUGGAGAAGGAUUGAGAUGGUGGUGGAUAUGGAGGGGGUCUGACUUCAGGUGCGGAGGGUUGGUGAAACUUGCUUUAAACCUACGAAACAACAAAAAAAUAGGUCAGAGGUGGAGCCAGGGGUGGCCGGCGACCACACUCCGACACUCAAGUCAGAGUUGGGUUAUCUUAGGUUAGAGAGCUUGCAAGCUCUCAGUAAUGGAGGUUUUGAGGUUGAAGAAACCUUAGUUUUUGGUGAUGUGUGUGUCAACUUACUUGAUAAAAAUUAAACCUGAGUAUUUAUAUGGUGUACCCUGGUCGCUGUGCCACCUGGCGCUAUUUUAGUGGCGUUCCCUGCUGUUAUGUCAGGAAUAUUCUUAUUUUUAUGCGUAUGGCGGCUUAGGCAUUUCACAAAUAUGCGUGGAGGGCAAGUUUGUGGCGUAUUCACGUGCUGGGCGUAGUGGAGUGGUCCCGUGUACCUCUGCAAUUUCGUUGUAAUUUUGCAGGCGUAGUAGGAAAAGCCGGUGGUCCCAACUGUCAUAAUAUUAAACUUUUGGCGAAUUCGCUGGCGAUUUGUAGCACGAGAUUUCCUCACCGAUUUCUUAUUUUUUGACACGUAUUCAACCGAUCUUUUUGAGAUUUGUGGCUCACCUAUCUCUUGACAUUUGACGAACAUUUUUCCUAACCUUCUUGCCCUUGCUCAGUGUGUCCCAGGUACCAAGUUUUGUGGGGUAGGUUGGGUACCCCGGGUGUCGAACUAAUGGUGUAGGUCGGGUACCUCGGGUACCGAGUUUAUAGUGUAGGUCGAGUAUCUCGGGUACCGAGUUUAUUGUGUAGGCUGGGUGUUGAGUGUUAGAAAAUGCAUAUUUAUAAAGGAGAAAACCAUCAUUUUACAUUUCAAGUCUUACUAACAACUCUUACUUUUAUGUAUUUAACCUUCUUGUGAUGUAAUUACGUGUGUGUUAUUUUAAUUAAGUAUUUUAUGUAUUUUAGGGGCAUUAUAGUCAUUUCACAAUAAAAGAGAGAUCAGACGGCAAAACGGACAUCACUUUUGAACUCAGGACAGUCGAAAACCUUAGGAGGAGCAUAAAAGGAAAAAUGGUACUAUUCACAUGUACGGUACUAUUCACGUAUACGGUACUGUAUAUGUUACUGUUCACGGCACUGUUCACAUAGACGGAUCGAUGAUGUAGCAUUGACCGAUGAUGUGGCAUUGACUGAUGAGGUGUCACGAUCCUAUUGGACUAAAAUUCUUAUGUACUGUUGAUGGUGACGUGGCAGCAUAUCAGUGGACGAAAAAUCUCGCGUACGGUGCAUGCAUCACACAGGAUUAUUUUCAACCAAACCGUGUUACUGUUCAUCCGGGUCAAACCGUGUUACUGUUCAUCCACGUGGUCACUGUUGACUGAUGACGUGGCGCAAUCCUGAGCGUCCAAAUUGUUUUUAAUCCGAUGGCCAUGAUUUACUCCAUAUAUUUAUAAAAAGGGGGCCUCUCCCCCCUAAUUUGAUAUCUCUGAAUCCAUUUUUGGGAUCCAUUUUCUGUAAUUCCUUCUCCAUCUUGUAUUUUCUUUGUAUUUUAAUAAAUUUCCAUUUUGCCCCUAGUUCAAUUAUGAGUAGCUAAUUUCCUUUCAAGCUUGGGUUGAAGGUGAAGUCUCAACAUGUGUCAUGGGCUUUAUUUGGUAAAUUUAUUUUCUUUUCCCCUCUAGUUUUUGUGGAUGAUUUGAUUUAUCGUCGACAAAUAAUACUGAUCUUGUCUAGAUACCGCCUUGGUUACACCGGCUCUCUAGUAUAAGGUUAUUAUUAUUUGGCACGAUAAGCCCUUAGCACUAUAUUGAUUAGAGCGUAGUUCAUGAGGUGUGGAUUCCCCCCUCAUGAUUUAAUUGGUAUUAAUAAGGAAUAUUUAGCUCAUGAUGCAUGUUGAUACGGAUCCAGAUACCCAAGUACGUCAUUUCAAUAUAAUUCUCUUCAAUUUAUUCUCGCCAUUUCAAUUCCAAUUUUAGAAUUUAUUCUCGCCAUUUUAAUUUAAGUUUUAGCAUAUUCCAAAUCAUUUCCACCACAAAUCUAAUCCCCCAUUUACAAAAUUAAUUCUACACACAAUUAAAAUCCACCUCCUCGUGGGAUCGACACUCAUCACCAUUGAUAUAUACUACAAUAGAUUCGUGCACUUGCGAGUACAUUAAAAUUUGCACAACACUGGGUAUCUUGGGUACCGAGCUAAUGAUGUCGGUCGAGUACCUCGAGUACCGAGUUUAUAAUGUAGGCCAGGUAUCUCGGGCACUGAGUUUAUAGUGUAGGUCGAGUACCUCGGGUAUCGAGUUUAUAGUGUAGGUCGGGUAUCUUGGGUACCAAGUUUAUAGUGUAGGACGGAUAUUUCAAGUACCGAGUUUAUAGUGUAGGUCGGGUAUCUCGAGUAUCCCUAGUACCGAAUUUUAUGGGGUAGGUUGGGUACCCCGGAGGAUAACUAAUAAUUACAUAACCUUUGCAUCGACACGUGGCGCUUCAUUUUCAAUACUCUAUUUAUCCCCAAACAAUUACUAUCACCUUUAUUUAAUAGAUUUUAUAUUAUCCAACAUUAUUAAUUUAUUGAAGUGAUUCUAUAAUCCAAAUCCAAUGAGAAAUUAGAGUCCACCCAAACCAGCAUCAUUAGUUACAAUUUUAUGCACCACUUAUCAGACCAUUUUUUUUUAAAUAAUUAACAUUCAUUCAUCGAAAAAAAAAAAACAUUUACAUAGAUUGUCUGGAUUUUUAUAUAACAACUGAUGCUAUAAAAUUGGAGAGGCUGGAAAAGUAUAAGAAAGUCAUAUUGCCGAAACUGAAGGGGGCUUGAGAUAAGUUCCAUACCUUUAUAGCAUGCUUACAAAAAACCAAGGCAUGCAAAGUGUCGCCAUACUCGAAGCCGCAAUAGAAACAAGCUGUAUUUAACAAAUUAAAGGCGUGUUUGAUGUUGUUUUUCAAUUCGCAUUUUCUUGAAACAAAAAAUGAAGUAAAAAGCAUUACGAAGGUCCAAACGCCUAAUGAUGCUUCUUCUUCAACUCCAAUAGCAAACCAACCAAUUCGGGCAACAGCAGUGUCAAUAGAACUUGAAUCCCAACUGUCGCCAGAAAAAUGAAAUUUCUUUCUCGCUCGUUUUCCUAACUCUUCAAUUCAAUCAUUUCUCUCCAAUUGGUGGCUAAAACAAGAACCAAAAACUAGAACGCAACGUAUUUCUUCCACAAUCAUUUUUACAAUGAAAAGUGUUUUCGAUAGAUUUUGGGGUAGGAAAAGCCAAACCAAUCUAGAACAAUGAAUUUGUAUUUUUGGUGGAGACGGGGUACCUCACUGGUUUGUUGUGUGCGGUGUGGUGUAUCUGAAAUCCGGGGCAGGUGAGAAGGGGAGAGGGAGUGGUAACCAUGGUGAAAGGUCAGAACUAAGAGAGAUGUCCUUCAAAAUGAACUUCACGCCUGUAAAACAGUGAAUCACUGGUUUGUUGUGUGCGGUGUGGUGUAUCUGAAAUCCGGGGGAGGUGAGAAGGGGAGAGGGAGUGGUAACCACGGUGAAAGGUCAUAACCAAGAGAGAUGUCCUUCAAAAUGAACUUCACGCCUGUAAAACAGUGAAUCACUGGUUUGUUGUGUGCGGUGUGGUGUAUCUGAAAUCCGGGGGAGGUGAGAAGGGGAGAGGGAGUGGUAACCACGGUGAAAGGUCAGAACCAAGAGAGAUGUCAUUCAAAAUGAACUUCACGCCUGUAAAACAGUGAAAUAGAGGUUAGAGGUGAAGCCGAGGUACCCCGACAUUCACACUCCGACGCUCAAGUUAGCAAACUCAAGCUUUUAUAGCGAAGAGAGCUGGCUAGCCCUCUGUAAAUUAAGGUUUAAGGUUGAAGAUAACCUAUUUUUUGGUGUGUGAGUGUUAAUGGUGAAUGAGAGCCUCCUUUAGAAUAAAACUUAUGCACAUUUAUAUAUGGAGUACCUCAGCUGCUGCGUGGCGUACCCCUUUCGGCUAAUGUCUUUUUUUACCUUUUAUGAUUUUGGGGCCAUUAUGUGCAUGUUCGCGGCGUAUCUCAUCCUUUGGAGACGUGGCGCACGCUGGAGAGUGGUCUAGGGUACCUUUGCAGUUGCUGUCGGGUAGGCGGUUGAGAACCACUGUCCUUAGGACAGUGUCCUUCACUUUUGGCAGAGGUAGCAUGUGGCUGUCCCCCCCCUUUUGGUACGACGUUCUUGAUUCCUAAUUCUGAUAAAAUCGAAUAAUAUAUUUUAAGAGAUGGAGACGUUUCUCAUGGCGGAUAUUUUCAGAGGAUUCUCUUGCAUCCGAUUUGCAGGGUACCUUGAGUUACGCGGGGUACCUCUAAUUGUGCGGGGUACCUUGAAUUAUGCUAGGUACCUCAGAUUGUACGGGGUACCUUGAAUCAUGCCGGGUACCUCGGAUUGUGUAGCAUACCUUCAAUUAUGCGGGGUACCUUCAAUUAGGCGAGGUACCUCAGAUUACGCGGGGUACCUCAGAUUGUGUGGGGUAUCUUGUAUUACGCCAAGUACUUUAGAUUGUACUGGAGUCAUUCUAUUUGUCGACACGUGGCGCUUUACUGUAUUUCCUAUUUUUUCCUCAAACAACAUCCCCCUAGUUUCUUUUUGGCGAGAAGUAUUGGAGGCAAAAGAAACUUACAUAAAAAGUAGGAGCGACACGUGGCGAUAUGAUGUUUAGCUCGAUGGGUAACUGAAUAGAGGACGCCUCUAGGGGUACCCUGAGAACCCAAAAAAGAAAGAUGGGCUCCCUUUCCUCGGAAAUGGCUACCAAUUUGGACAUGUUGGAAAGGAUGAAGUUGAUUGAUCAAAAUUUUUUCGUCUAUUUCUGAGGAAGAACACCAAAUACGGGCAGAGGGUACCGUUAGGGUACCCCACUAUUAUCCAUAGUUUGUUUUCUAGUGACUGCCAUGUAUAAAUCGCUCUGGUGAAGGCUUCAAUGCAUUCUUUAGGCAUUUAAGAAGCAAUUAUUUGAUUAUCCCAAGAUCCACCUUAUUUAAGGGUACCUUUCCUUAAUGUGCUUCGAAGACAAAAAUAAAAUCACAGGGCUUCCUUCCUUGCAACUUCAGAGGUACCAUCGACAGAAGAACAUAGUCGACAAUGCUUUUAAGCGCAUCAUGAUCGAGGAAUAGAGUGCUGAUCUGGGGUUGGUGGUGCCAAGAGUGAAGAAUAGGAUAGAUGAACCGGCUAUCUUGAAGGUGAUUGAAGAUAGCGGGGCUCCCAACACAUCUUGGUCUGAAAGCCCAUUGAGAUCAGUUGGGGUACCUCAGAUGAGGUAUCUAUAAGGUACCUCUGAUACUGACCCUUGUGUUUUUGCUACUUUUAGCACUUUUGUUGAUCCCCUCAUCCUAAGGGAUGAAGCUGAAGAUAACCAUCCUGCUGUGUAACCUUGUUCAGCAUUACUGACAAGGUGUAUGGGGUACCUCGGGUACCUUAAUGCUUGGAUAUCCCUUAAGCUAUCUGUUACUUUAUGGCGGAAUAACCCAAUUUCAUCAAACAUAUGGCGAUUCCUCCAGAUAUAGAGACGUUUCUCAUGGCGGAUAUUUUCAGAGGAUUCUCUUACAUCCGAUCUGCCGGGUACCUCGAGUUACGCGGGGUACCUCAAUUUAUGUGGGGUACCUCUAAUUGUGCGGAGUACCUCUAUUUGUGUGGGGUAACUCUAGUUGUGCGGGGUACCUCAGAUUGCACGGGGUACCUUGAAUCAUGCCGGGUACCUCGGAUUGUGCGGGAUACCUUCAAUUAUGCGGGGUACCUCUAAUUGCGCGGGGUACCUCCAAUUAGGCGGGGUACCUCUAUUUGUGUGGGGUACCUCAGAUUACGCGGGGUACCUCAGAUUGUGUGGGGUACCUCGGAUUGUGCGGAGUACCUCAGAUUGUGCUGGAGUCAUUCUAUUUGUCGACACGUGGCGUUUUACUGUCUUUCCUAUUUUUCCCUCAAACAAAAAGUAUACUUCAUUCAAGCACAAACAUUUCAAAUUCACUAGUUAUAAUCAUCAAUAAAUUUUGUAGGUGUCAUAUUCUAAAAGGUACCUAAUCAUGUUUCGUGUCUAUCCUAUCAGACAGUAGAAGUUAUUCCGGUGAAAUAUCACCUAAGUUAUUUCAAGAGAAUAACAUCUAAGAAAAAAUUUCUCCCGAAGCUUAUAAAAAUGGCAAGAGGGGGAAUUAGUUCUGCAAUCCAUUACUUUAAGGAAGUCACGCUCAAAGGCCAUACAAGUAAGGAAACACAUAGGGGAGGAAUAAUUCUUUAAAUCAAAUUUACCUCCACAUGUGCAGAAAUGAUGGGUGACACAUGUUUUUAGAUUAAGGGUUCAAAGCAAAACUCUAAAUCUACAUCACUCAUAAUUUAUAACUAGAGACUCAACUCUAAGAGAAAAGAGAUCUUGAGCCUCCAAAAGCAUUGUUCAUACUUAGAGAGUGAAAAUCAUUUUCUCCAUCUUUCUUCUUUCUUUAAUCUUAAUUAAACACUAACUUGAGUAUCGGAAUGUCUUUUUCAAGUACUCACCGUUCCAGAUUCGAGGCCAACAAUCGCGACAAGUUCUCUGCAAACUACAAAUACACGUGAAGAUAAAAAAAAAAAUCCAAUACCUUCAAUUUUCAAUUCUAUUGCCACUGAUAAUAUAUCUACUCCGAUGAUUAUGCAGUCUAUUUAUUAUGCUUUGAGUAAUGCGUCAAAUAUUGUUUCUUAAUUUAUUUCAUAAUUUGUUUUGAAGAACAGCGAAAAUGUGUAUGCCAAAGUGUUUUGCUUGUUAUUACUAUCAACUGGAGUUUGUUUUGCGUGUUUUUAUUAUUAUUUUUUUUAGAAUUUAUUCCACCGAACAUGCACUUAAAUUAUAAAAGUAAAAAAAAAAAAAAAAAGGAACCAUGCAUCAAUACCGAACGGGCCCUAGUGUAUAUGAACAACUUUACUUCGAAUUGAUCAAUUUCGGCGCAAUAAGCAAGGCAUUGAAAAUGAAGCGAAUAAAUGAAAAAUUAAAAUUAAAAAAAUUGGUUCUCAUUUGGUUGUCCUUUUUUUUUUUUUCGUAUAAAUGCCACCAACCAUCUUACGGAUUGUUUGAUGUUCACAAUUUUUUUGCAAUAUUUCUUCCACAAUAGCACAAAAUGUUACAAGACAACCCCAACCCUGGACACAAAUAAUAUCGCUUGGUUCUUGCGCCACGGGACUUGGUGAACCACGUGCAAAUCACAUGCCAAGCAACGAAUUUUCUGUUUGUGAAUUGUGUAGUAAUUGUACUCAAAUUGCACAUACUACGCAUAUGAAAGUAACCUCUUCUUAGUUCUAACCCAGAAUAGCAGAGCUUAACUUAUUUUUCACCAACAAAAUGUGUAUCUUCCUACUGCUUUCGCAGAUGAACAAAAAGCUGUGAGAAUGUGGAUGUUUUGCUUCUUGCUAGUCCACCUCCACUUGGUAAGAGAAGUAAAGCUGCUUUCAUUAACAUGACUUUAUAUAUAGAUAUUUGAUUCACUAAAGAACUUUUUAACUUUAAUACUUUGCUCAUCAGCAACAAUCUGUAUUAAGAGAGUAAAUUUUCAUACCUAAUUAUACAAUUAUCAUAAUCUAAGGAUACAAUUUCUUGCUUCUCUCCUUGCACCUAUGCUCCCCUACUAAAGCAAUUUUAUGAAAGAAUUGAACAAAUUUCUCUUCAUGUUGCUCUGAAAACUACAGAAAAAAAUUAGAGGUGGGGGGAGGAGAUGAAUAACCAAAAGACAAUAGUCUAAUAGUUUGUCAAGCCCAGAUUGCAAGCAAAGACAUCAAUCCAGCUCCAAGAAACAGCAUCAAAUAAGACACUACUUGAAGCCUACAAUUGCAGCUCAUCCUUUUACUGAGAAAAUCUGCCGCAAUUAGAUCCACUAAAGCCAUGUACACCAGAAUGCCGGCUGACAUUGAAUCUAAGAUUCCUUCAACAAUCAGAGCACCUGGACUGUUUGGGUUGUAAACUGAAGCAACUGCAGUACCGAUGCUGAUCCCUACUGGAGUUGUUAAGGCGAAAAAAACAUGCCAUUAACGUGGCUGAUUGGGUAUUGAAUUGAGCUUGCCAGAUGCAACCUCCAAGCGCAAAUCCUUCAAAGAAUUGAUGGAAGGAUAACGCUGCUAUCAAGGGUCUUAUUGUACAUGGACUAUGUGAAACUCCAAGCGAUAUCCCAAUGAUAAUCAAGUGUGAAACAAUUCCAAGUUCCAAAACCUGCAAACAUAACAACAGAUUUCCAAUUAGGACAAAUUCCAUCUCAUUUUCAACCAAAUUUAAGUCACGAGCAUCUCACAUUUUCGCUGCUCACUUUCUUAGCAAUAGAAUUUCAAACAAAAGCAAACACUUAAUGCUAAUGGGAAACAAAUAUCAAUUAGUUGUAUAUACCCGGUAUAAUUGAACAAAACUUUACCAUCAUUUUAUGAAUGAAAUUUCACUUGAAUAAAAUUGUAAAAAAUUUACUUGCCAAGUCUAGUAUUAUUGUUUCCACAAAUCACAGCCAAACUACCACAGCAAAGUCAUGGAGACAUGGACUGACCGGCCCCACCCAUAGCACUUCAAUAUCUAACGAGAAAAGAAAAGAUAGACAAAUAAAAAGAUAAUAGGUCUCCCUUCGUACCUACGUGUCAUAUUCAGACUCUUUGUAUAGUUACAGACUCCAAAGCAACACAAUUCGACGCUAUAAGCAAAGAGUUAAAAUGCAUCAAGACAAACAAAAGUUAAAAUUGUGGAAAACAAAGUACGUCUAAAGUACUUGGGAAACGACGACGUGCCAAACCCCACUUUCCUCAUCCCCAUCACUAAACUCAUGAGAAUGCCCAAGCCCCUGUCCGUGUCCAUGGCCAGCCUCCUUCACGUGCCCCUCAAAAUAUUAAUACCAUUAGAAUAUUUAAUAAAAUCUGAGUACAAUUACUAUUUCACUCUUGAAUUCAAGGGAUUUUUAUUUUGCAUCAUAAAUAAUAAAAUCAAAUAAAAAGAAUAAUAAAAAGUAAAACUAUCAAAACCCAACAAACUUUUUUGUUUCAAAACAAAAUCGACCAAUGAUUUUGGUAGACGAUUGAUACAAAUUGCAAGCUUAGAGUAGAAAAUUGAAUACAUUCAAAAUUUGAUGUUAUUUUUGCUAACAUGGUAAACUUAAAGUGAGUGACUGAUAGUUUUCCAACAUCUAGCAUCAAUGGUGCAUCCAGAGAAAUAAUUUACAGGGAGCUAUAUUAGAUAAUAGUAAAAUGUAAAAACUAAAACCUUGAAUAUCUAAAAAACUUGCUAAUACAUUUAUAAUUGUUCUCAAUGCGUUUUUACAUUUUGAAAAUGUUAUGCAAUAGACUCAUUAUCAAUACUAUUAAAUUUAUUAUAUAUCAGACUACUACAAAUGAGCAGUAACCCCUAUAAACCUCUCCAAAUGCAUUUUCUGUACACUUACAUUGGCCAGCGUCAGCAGUACCUUCUGCAAAUGCGUUGAUAGCUUCUGUACCAUAAAAAUGUAAUCUGACACUAUUCAAGCAAGAGUCAUUCUUUAAGAUAGCAGCAGGUGCAGCAGUUAAGUAUUGGAAUGGAAUGCUUUUAGUGGAGGACAUUGCUUCUACAACAAGCAUCAAGUAAGGCAGAAAAAUCAACAGGGACCAUUCUGGAUGUAGCCUUAAGAAAUUCAUCUCAUCUGGCCUAGCAAGUGGCGUGCAAGGUUUCAGUUAAAAAAUUAUCUAUCAUCUGGUGGCAAUGUAGGACUCUUGGAACACAUACUGAUGUUGUGAAGCUCCUUCAUUCUGAAGGCUGGAUUGCAUAAACCUGAAAUAUAAUGAUACUUCAGUCAUUAGGGAGGAUUCAAAAGUUAACUUUGCAGAAUAAUUAAAUUCCUGUACACUCUCUUCUUAAACUCUUAAUUAACAAAUUUUAAAUCCAAUUCAGUCAUCAUAGAGGAUUCAGAAGGAUCAAAGAAGGUUCUAGGCUUGUGGCCUUCGUCGGUGCAUGUGUGGAGGCUGUGCCACCAGAAAUUGGGCUUGAGAAGUUUUGAUUAAAGCAAGAAAGUAACUCUUUUACUAUUCCCCGUAGCAUUGCUUACUCAGAAAGAUCUUUCAAUGGAAGCAAGGUUAAUCAGCAGAAGCACUAUGAGCAACAAUGAAUGUUUUGGAGAUGAGAGAGAGAAAAAAUAAAGUGGCAGAGGACUUGCAAUUAAGAUGAAUAUGCAAGAUUUCAGGGAUCAUCACUGUAGCAUAAUGCAUUGUCCGGUGUGCUUCAAACUCCUUCUAAACCAUCAGCUAAAAACGUAAUAUAAUAGAAAAUGUGAAAAUAUGCAUAAUCACCAGGCAUCAAAUCUGUUUUUAGGCCCCAUGAAUCUCAAGCUCCUCUAAUCCAUCAACUUAAAAAGAAAGAUAAAAAUAAUGAAGAAGGAACAGCUUACCGAAAAAGCUAUCCCGGCUAUACGAGAUAAAAAUGCCAGACAAAAGUUGUUAAAAAGUAAACGAAAUCUCUUAUUGCUGAAGAUGUGUUUCAUUGUAUUCCAGCCCACAACAAAUGUUUGGGAAUCUUGCAGCAAAGUUGUCAUCAGCAUCUGAAGAUUCGAUGUCCAGUAGUGGACCCAGCAACUGACCAUUAAAAAGUUUAGACAACAUAUGCAGCAUAUUGAUGGGUCCACAUGUCCCCAUGUCCCCAGCAUUCUAAGGCACUUGGAUUAUUGGAUGCUAGAUUUCAAGAGCCAGGGCUGUGGCUCCAUACAGCGGGGUCAAGAUUUUGGUGGAAUUGAACAACAAUCAAUCAUGGAGAAGCGCUCCCCAUGGAUGCAAGCAACCUUUCUAGCAUCUAGAGGAUCCCUCGCUCUACCGAAUGGGCUCCUUCCUCAUAAUCAUCAUCCUUACUAUAAUGGCAGUCAAAUAAGGAGAAAGAUCUAAAUAGGAUAGAGGGUCUUGUACAGAGAGUGUUAUAGGUAGUGUGGUUGUCGACCUUGAUAUCCUUGGGACAGCCAUCCUACCUCAUCAAACUCCUAAGGUACGUGUAAAAUUUAUAACAUUAUCAUGACUUGUUAUGCGCUAAAAUCCUGUAUUCAAUGGGUUCAGAUUUCCUUUUCCUCUUGCUAAUAUCUGUAAUUAACUCUGCUAAAAAAUUUGAUAAUUGUGCAUUUCCCCUCAAGCUCAACCUUACUUCGCACCAUCUCAUCAACUCAAUGUAAUACAAAAUCAUCACAAACCUACAGAACCCUAACAAUUGGCGGUCCAUCAAUCUCACUACUUUUCAGAGGAACCUUCAUAUUUCAUGUGUAACGAAUACAUGAUCAUCAGAACUUAAACAGAAAGCGGGAUUUUCAAAUCUUAAUUUUUUAUGUAUCAAAAUCACAUAUCAAGAUAGUUCUUUGAGAAAGUAAGAAAUACAAUUACAGCAGAGCAUGUGAUAAUAAGAAACAUAGUUACCGCAGGGCAAGUUACAAAAAUUGUGUUACCUGAGCACUUUGGAAUAUCCCACACCGCUAUAGAUGUGGAAGUACAUCUAGGAUCACAUAUUGCUCUGUUAUCUUCGUGGUGGACGUUCAUAGCAAGCAUCCAUGACCCGAUAGUUACAUCCUCAUUGCUGAACAUUCUCAAACUGAAAAGCAGAACAUAUCUAUUAACAAAAGCAUAGAAGGAAGAAAGAUUACAAAAUAAAACUGAAAGAGAACAGACAAGGCAUUGUUACAUAAAUAGCAGAGCAAGUCAAAUUAACAUUUUCAAGGGGAAAAAAUCUCAAAAUGUAUGCAAUGAGAACUUUUGAUCCCAGCAUCAUAAACAGGGAAAAAAUAUAAAAUAAAUUUCAUCUGGACACAUGAAAUUUUAACUUUUCGUUGGUUCUAAUGGAUAUUUUCAGUCAUUUUUCAGUACAAUCUUAAACUAAUAGGUAAAAGAAGAUAAGCAAAUGUGAAUGUAUGAAGACCAAUGAAAACUUUAUCCAAAUGCACCUGUUAUUUCUUGCAGCAGCUAGUGAAGCCACCACAUUUGCAGACAGAACAUAUAUAGGACCAUAAGCAUGCAAGAAGUAUUCAUUUCCAAUAAGGUGCCCUGAUUUUUCAUACCUGAAAUUUUCAAAAUUAUAAAUCAACUAAUAAAAUAAUUUUACAAAAUAAAGAAACAUGUGAAAAAAUAUGAGAUAUCUGAAAGAUAACAGUUUUAAUAAGCAAAACCCAUAUACCACUUCAUUUUAGGGUCAGUGAUCACAGGUCCUUUCUUCAUACAACCAAUGUAAGUCAGCGGAUUGCUACGUUCCUUGGCAAGAAGAGUUGCAAGACGAUCUGAAGAAGUUGAAAGAAAAUAAAUUUAUAAUGUCACAACGCAUUUUUAAGAGUCACAGAAUGCAUGAUGCCUAUCUUCAUUAUUUCAGAUACCAGGGCGCAAAUAAAUGUCAUCAUCAGCUUUGACGUAAUAAUCUGCUUCAAAAUGCAGGAAAGCUGCUUUCAAAUAAGCCAACCUAACAAUAGCAAAAAUGAAGAAACCAAAUUACCAAACAAGCCACCGUUUUUUUUUUUGGAUCAAAAUAACAAAGAGAACUUCACCUCUUACGUUUUAUAAGGAAGCUUUAAAUAUUCUUCCUGAACAUCUAUGAGCAUAAAAUCUCUGUACUUAUCAAUCUCUUUCUCAAGCUGUGCCAUCUUCUUUGCAUCUUUCGAUUUCCCAAUUACAAACCGAAAUGCUAUCCCGGUAGCUUGCUCUAAUCUAUAAAAUAUACGACAAAUUAAACCAGCAUGUUCUUUCAGUUAUUAAACCACCCUCCCCCCCCCCCCCCCCCAAAAAAAUCUUUGAUAAAAUAAAUGAAGCAUUUAUACCUUAAGAGUCCAUCCGGGUCAGAAGGGAACCACGUGCUGCGAAGAGCGGCCCGGCGAUCAGCUGAACCGAAGCCGGUUUGAAUUCCGACAGACCCGAGAAGCUUGGGGCGAUCAAGGAGAGCUCCAUUAUCGCGGAGUUUUCGAGAGUCGGAUAGAGAGUAGAAUGCACGGAAAGUGUCUUCGGAUCUACCGCAACGGUAGACGGGUAGGGGACUGGGGCGGCGGACGGCGUUGACGGCAAAGAUUAUGCCAGCGAGGCCGAAGAAGAUGGAGAGGAGUGAAAGGAGGAGAAUGGGCAGGGAUAUUUUAGAAUUAAGCUUAUGAAGCUUUUGAUCUUUGGCUGAGUAGGAUGAGUUUGUGGUGGUGGAGGUGGGAAGAGCUGAGGAGUUGUGGCGGUGGGAGAAGAGUGGCAUUUCGGUGAAUUGUGAGUUGAGACAGGGAAAAUGUUGGGGAAAUGGGAUUGGCGAAAGGAUCUGUCGUUGCUUCUUCUAGCUCUAUACCACUGGUUCGGAAAUGGGAAGUAGAGUUUCUUGGAAGGGACGCUCCUGGGUGAAUAGUGACACCGCGAGGCUGAAGCUCCUCUUUUAAUACCAUUUUCAGUUCUUAAAGACAAU